UACGUAGGGUGCAAGCGUUGUCCGGAAUUAUUGGGCGUAAAGAGCUCGUAGGCGGUCUGUUGCGUCGGCUGUGAAAACCCGGGGCUCAACUCCGGGCCUGCAGCCGAUACGGGCAGACUAGAGUUCGGCAGGGGAGACUGGAAUUCCUGGUGUAGCGGUGAAAUGCGCAGAUAUCAGGAAGAACACCCGUGGCGAAGGCGGCUCUCUGGUACGUGACUGACGCUGAGACGCGAAAGCGUGGGGAGCAAACAGG
rnacentral:rRNA from 1 species